GCUCUCGUGACCUAAUGGAUAAGGUAUCGGUCUCCUAAACUGAAGAUCGUGGGUUCGAGUCCCACCAAGGAUA
rnacentral:tRNA from 1 species